AUUUUAUUUUAUUUUAGAUUGAGUCUCACUCUGCCACCCAGACAGGAGUGCAGUGGUGCAAUGUCAGCUCGGUGCAACCUCUGCUUCCUGGGUUCAAGUGAUUCUUAUGCCUCAGCCUCCUGAGUAGCUGGGAUUAUAGGCACCUGCCAUCAUGCCUGGCUAAUUUUUGUAUUUUCAGUAAAGAUGGGGUUUCACCAUUCUGGCCAGGCUUGUUUUGAACUCCUGACCUCAAGUGAUCCACCUGCCUUGGCCUCCCAAAGUGCUGGGAUUACAGGCAUGAGCCACUGCAUCAGGCCUGGAUCAGCAUUUUAAAGAUGGCGUCACAAUGGCAAAGAAACCAGUCAGUGCUUUGUGAUCCUCCGCCCAGUACAGGCACAGCAGGGCAUCCAGAGAAGAUAGGAGUCCCAAGUUGACACCUGCCACAUUCUUGGCUCAGAACAGCUGUGGCUGGGAAGGUCCAUGGGCCAGGGAGCGGGUGAUGAAGGACUUCAGCAUCUUUAUCAGCGCCCCCCCACACAGACGGCAGCUGCGGCCUAGCCCCCAGGCUUCACUUGGCGUGGACAACUUGCUAAGUAAAGUGGGGGGUGGGCCACGGCUGGCUCCUACCUGGACAGGCCUCCAGCUAACUCCGGGCUUGCACAGCAAAUACAAGAAAAAAAGAAACAGAAAAAUCAGUUCAUGUGCCCUUUCCUGACUUCUCCUGGCACCUACAGCCCUGACUGCAGAGAUGGUCCCGUGGUCCCAAGACAGAGGCUGGAGAAGUGAGUGGAGCCAAGAGGCAGAAAGAUCUCAGUAAUUUGGAAAAAAUUCCCAACUGGGUGCAGCUGGCUACACCUUUUCUUCCCCAGAUGAAGAACAUGAGUCUUAGAGAAGUCAAAGAAGUUGCCUAAGGUCACAUGAGCAGUGAGCAGAGGAGUUGCUUACCUUUGUUAGACUCCAAAUCCUGUGUGACUAUGAAACUCAUUAACUGAAACAACCCGGCACCUUUGGACCUGUGCAGGCAAAGGCAAGGGAGUUGACCAGGAGCACACAGCACAGACGAGAACAGUCCCAAAGCCUUUUGCUGUAUCCCAUCUGUGCAAACCACUCCCAAUAAACAAACAAACACA
rnacentral:lncRNA from 1 species